ACUACCACGAGGCCCCCUCGCCGCGCCAAUGAGCGCCCUCCGCUCGGGUUGCCGGGGGAAGAGGAAACUCGAACCGACGUUAGCCUCAGGGUUUAAACAGGUCCCCGCGUCCGUAAGGGAGGGCGCGCGGACCGCCUAACUACUCUCGAGCGCCAGACCUCGUCCAGCCACCUCCCCCGUCACAGCACCCAAGCCAAGUAGGGCAAGACCCUGGGAGAACCAGGAAAAGACGACGACCCGGGCGUGGAGAACCUUCUCACCAGCGCUGAGGAGACUAACCGCCGAUAACCAGUCAGGAAGAAGACGCGUGAGGCGAGCGCGGGGCGCUGCCUUUAUAGCCUGCGGGGCUCUCGCGAGAGUCAGAGCGGGCUGGGGGUGCAGGAGGAGGAGAGGGAAGGGGGAUCUGGCCCCGCCCCCGCCCCAGCCAACGCGCCCCGCCAGAAUGACUCAGCACUUUCCCUCGCGGUGGGCGGGCUCGGGCUCGGAAGCUGGAUUGUAACACCCAGAACAAUGUGUCGCUGUUUCAAGACUUCAGGCUUUUGUUCAAAUAUGAAGAAUCUGUUCCCUCCUAGUAGACCUAGAGAAAAUGUCUUUGAAGACCGCCGAAGCAUGACUUCUGGAACUGUUCCGGACCUUGGCUCAUCCUCAAAAGUCCUGGAAAGCUGUUCUGGCUUUUGCUCCUCCCCAGAAUUUAUCAUUCCGUCCUUUGUGCCCAAAACAACAUCCUGUAAGGCCAGAAGCUAUACAAAAUACCUCUUUAAAAAA